rnacentral:rRNA from 1 species
AUUGAACGCUGGCGGCAGGCCUAACACAUGCAAGUCGAGCGGAUGAAGGGAGCUUGCUCCUGGAUUCAGCGGCGGACGGGUGAGUAAUGCCUAGGAAUCUGCCUGGUAGUGGGGGAUAACGUCCGGAAACGGGCGCUAAUACCGCAUACGUCCUGCGGGAGAAAGUGGGGGAUCUUCGGACCUCACGCUAUCAGAUGAGCCUAGGUCGGAUUAGCUAGUUGGUGGGGUAAAGGCCUACCAAGGCGACGAUCCGUAACUGGUCUGAGAGGAUGAUCAGUCACACUGGAACUGAGGCACGGUCCAGACUCCUACGGGAGGCAGCAGUGGGGAAUAUUGGACAAUGGGCGAAAGCCUGAUCCAGCCAUGCCGCGUGUGUGAAGAAGGUCUUCGGAUUGUAAAGCACUUUAAGUUGGGAGGAAGGGCAGUAAGUUAAUACCUUGCUGUUUUGACGUUACCAACAGAAUAAGCACCGGCUAACUUCGUG